ACCACUGCACCUGUCUGCCAUUAGCUUAAUCAGUGGGGCUUUAUAAGCCAUCACCAAGCACUCACACAUUGUCUAGUCUCAUCUCUACCUAGAACAAUUUGGACUUCCCCUUUGUGCUCACCGCAGAUCACCUACAUGAACUUUGUGCAAGUUUGCUGUCUUCACUGCCUUCUUCCCAUGAGCUCAGUGGAUUCUUCCUAGAGAGGAAUGGGACAUUUCUAUCACUCAGUCUUCUACUACAAACAUUACUGCAUUUACCUGAAGUCUCUACCUGACUCCUUACCCUACCUGUGGUCUCCCACGAUCCUCAUCGUCUCCCCUGUGGAUAAGAGAAAAAGGAACUAUAACAUUCAGCUUAGUCUUGAGAAACCCGAACAUCUAUUUACCUACUUACCUGUUGCCUGCUUGUUGAACUCUGCUUGAGCCUGUUAAUAAACCUGUAUUCUUACCUGUGAAACCUUACCUCAUGGUCUUUCCUCUGUGGCGUGACACACACCUCUCUAUAAAAGGCCUCGUAGCUGACAAUGCAUAACUGAGUGAAAACCAAGCCAUGAGGUCAAAGGAACUGCCUGCCGAUCUCAGAGACCAGAUUGUAUUGAGGCACAGAUCUGGGGAAGGCUACAAAAAAGAUUCUGCUGCACUGAAGGUUCCCAAGAGCACAGUGGCUUCCAUAAUUCUUAAAUGGAAGAAGUUCGGCAAACCAGGACUCUUCCAAGAGCUGGUCGCCCAGCCAAACUGAGCAAUUAAUGGAGAAGGGCCUUGUCUAGACUGGUGACCAAGAAUCUGAUGGUCACUCUAGUUGAGCUCCAUGAUCAUAUGUGCAGAUGGGAGAAACCUACAGAAGGACAAACAUCAAUGCAACAUUCCACUGAUCUAGGCUUUAUGGCGGUCUGGACAAACUCAAUCCUCUCCUCAGUGAAGACCCAUGAAAACAGACUUGGAAUUUGCAAAAAAAGCACCUAAAGGACCCUCAGACUCUGAGAAACAAGGUUCUCUGGUCUGAUGAACCUCAAUUCCAAGCAUCAUGUUUAAAGGAAACUAGCUCUGCUCCUCACCUGCAAAGUUCCAUCCCAAAAGCAAAGUGUGCUGGUAGCAGCCUCAUGCUGAUUUUCAGCAGCAGGGAAAAUGAAUGUGUGUGUGUGUGUUGUAUAUAUAUAUAUAUAUAUAUAUAUAUAUAUAUAUAUAUAUAUAUAUAUAUAUACACACACACAUACACACAUACACACAUACAUACAUACAUACAGGUGCUGGUCAUAUAAUUAGAAUAUCAUCAAAAAGUUGAUUUAUUUCACUAAUUCCAUUCAAAAAGGGAAACUUGCAUAUUAUAUUCAUUCAUUACACACAGACUGAUAUAUUUCAAAUGUUUAUUUCUUUUAAUUUUGAUUAUAACUGACAACUAAGGAAAAUCCCAAAUUCAGUAUCUCAGAAAAUUAGAAUAUUACUUAAGACCAAUACAAAGAAAGGAUUUUUAGAAAUCUUGGCCAACUGAAAAGUAUGAACAUGAAAAGUAUGAGCAUGUACAGUACUCAAUACUUAUUUGGGGCUCCUUUUGCCUGAAUUACUGCAGCAAUGUGGCGUGGCAUGGAGUCGAUCAGUCUGUGGCACUGCUCAGGUGUUAUGAGAGCCCAGGUUGCUCUGAUAGUGGCCUUCAGCUCUUCUGCAUUCUUGGGUCUGGCAUAUCACAUCUUCCUCUUCACAAUACCCCAUAGAUUGAUUUCAUUUUGGAUUUCAUGAGAGCUAAACAAAAAAAGUUGGGGGUAGACAGGUAGCAAUAAGAGGCCGGAAAAGUUAAAUGUGUAUAUAUAAGGAACAGCUGGAGGACCAUUUUGCAAC
ensembl:lncRNA